AGUGAACGCUGGCGGUAGGCCUAACACAUGCAAGUCGAACGGCAGCACAGUAAGAGCUUGCUCUUACGGGUGGCGAGUGGCGGACGGGUGAGGAAUACAUCGGAAUCUACUUUUUCGUGGGUGAUAACGUAGGGAAACUUACGCUAAUACCGCAUACGACCUACGGGUGAAAGCAGGGGAUCUUCGGACCUUGCGCGAUUGAAUGAGCCGAUGUCGGAUUAGCUAGUUGGCGGGGUAAAGGCCCACCAAGGCGACGAUCCGUAGCUGGUCUGAGAGGAUGAUCAGGCACGCGGGAGCUAAGACACGGUCCAGAAUCGUACGGGAGGCAGGAGUGGGGAAUAUUGGAGAAUGGGCGCAAGCCUGAUCCAGCCAGACCGCGUGAGUGAAGAAGGCCUUGGGGUUGUAAAGCCCUUUUGUUGGGAAAGAAAAGUAGCAGGUUAAUACCGCGCUGUUCGAACGGUACCGAAAGAAUAAGCACGGGCUAAUUUCGU
rnacentral:rRNA from 1 species